rnacentral:rRNA from 1 species
GUCUUUCAGGCGUCCGAGUUGUAAUCUAUAGAGGCGUUUUCCGCGCCGGACCGCGUCCAAGUCUCUUGGAAUAGAGUAUCAAAGAGGGUGACAAUCCCGUACUUGACGCGACAACCGGUGCUCUGUGAUACGUUCUCAACGAGUCGAGUUGUUUGGGAAUGCAGCUCUAAAUGGGUGGUAAAUUCCAUCUAAGGCUAAAUAUUGGCGAGAGACCGAUAGCGAACAAGUACCGUGAGGGAAAGAUGAAAAGCACUUUGGAAAGAGAGUUAAACAGCACGUGAAAUUGUUAAAAGGGAAACGAUUGAAGUCAGUCGUGUGAAAGGUAUUCAGCCGUCUCUGGCGGUGUAUUUGCCUUUCACGGGUCAACAUCAGUUUAGUCCGGUAGAAAAAGGCUGGAGGAAGGUGGCAUCUUCGGGUGUGUUAUAGCCUCCUGUCAUAUGUGCCGGAUUAGACUGAGGAACGCAGCUUGCAGCAAUGCCGGGGUUCGCCCACGUACAAGCUUAGGAUGUUGACAUAAUGGCUUUAAACGACCCGUCUUGAAACACGGACC